UUCAAUGGGGGUUCCUAUUUACCGAGAAACAACUAAUCUGCAGCGGACGCUGUCAAAAUCCUUGACGUCACGCUUUGACGGCGUACGUCAGUUGAUGGCCGCUUAUGUGACCUUGAGGGUGACCUCGACACGUGCCUGUAGGAGCGCCUAGGAGUGUAAGACAGGCUGCAGAUAUAGGCUCGCCGCAUACCUGCAGUCCUCCUCUGCCGGCGUAGGUGAUGGUGAAGAAGACCUGGAACUUGGCCAGUAUGCAGACC